ACGCUCGACACCUACGGGGGCAGCAGUGGGGAAUAUUGCACAAUGGGGGAAACCCUGAUGCAGCGACGCCGCGUGAGCGAAGAAGUAUUUCGGUAUGUAAAGCUCUAUCAGCAGGGAAGAAACUGACGGUACCUGACUAAGAAGCACCGGCUAAAUACGUGCAAGCAGCCGCGGUAAUCUGAGCGGGCUGGCAAGGC
rnacentral:rRNA from 1 species